rnacentral:rRNA from 1 species
ACRAGUCGUAACAAGGUUUCCGUAGGUGAACCUGCGGAAGGAUCAUAGUAAUYGUCUUUGACGCACUACUCUUCGUCCACCGGACGCUAAGACGCUCUGGCAGAGGAUAAACCGCCGUCCUCGUGUUACCUUCCGGCACACGUUAAAGAUCGCUCUGCGUUGUGAGUAUAAACCGUUGUAAUGAAAUCUACAACCGGUAGCAUUGGAUCCCUUGGCAUGUCAUUCGAUGAAGACCGUUGCAAAUUGCGAUAAAGUGAUGUGAUGCGCAAGUCCACCACUUAUACGUGAAUCAUCGAGUUGUUGAACGCACUGCACCGCGCUCUAAACCAGCCCGGUAUGCCCCUUUGAGCGUCAUUUUUGUUCUUCGGGAGCCUUACGCACUUCGGUGCGCUGGCCCGAGUUCGGAGUCCUCGGUUUCUUGGAACCGUGUUCUCUCAGAUCCAGCACGCUGACCAUCCCGGCGGGUCCUCUAAGCCUGAGUGCAGAGGCCYUCCAGCGGGUGAAGCGUCCGACAGCGGCUUGAGCGCUGUCACCAAGUCCCUCGUCUCUCGACUUGGGUACUACAAAUCAUGACCUCAUUGGGGUAGGACAACCCGCUAGACUUAAGCAUAUUAAUCAGCGGAGGAAAAGAAACUAACAAGGAUUCCCUCAGUAACUGCGAGUGAAGCGGGAUCAGC